rnacentral:rRNA from 1 species
GGACUACCGGGGUUUCUAAUCCUGUUUGAUCCCCACGCUUUCGCGCCUCAGCGUCAGUAUCCGUCCAGAGAGCCGCCUUCGCCACCGGUGUUCCUCCUGAUAUCUACGCAUUUCACCGCUACACCAGGAAUUCCACUCUCCUCUCCGGUACUCGAGUCCGCCAGUUUCCAGCGCCGUUCCCCAGUUGAGCCAGGGGAUUUCACACCGAACUUAGCGGACCGCCUACGCGCCCUUUACGCCCAGUAAUUCCGAACAACGCUUGCACCCUCCGUCUUACCGCGGCGGCUGGCAC